rnacentral:rRNA from 1 species
AGUGAACGCUGGCGGUAGGCCUAACACAUGCAAGUCGAACGGCAGCACAGUAAGAGCUUGCUCUUACGGGUGGCGAGUGGCGGACGGGUGAGGAAUACAUCGGAAUCUACUUUUUCGUGGGGGAUAACGUAGGGAAACUUACGCUAAUACCGCAUACGACCUACGGGUGAAAGCAUGGGAUCUUCGGACCUUGCGCGAUUGAAUGAGCCGAUGUCGGAUUAGCUAGUUGGCGGGGUAAAGGCCCACCAAGGCGACGAUCCGUAGCUGGUCUGAGAGGAUGAUAAGCCACACUGGAACUGAGACACGGUCCAGACUCCUACGGGAGGCAGCAGUGGGGAAUAUUGGACAAUGGGCGCAAGCCUGAUCCAGCCAUACCGCGUGGGUGAAGAAGGCCUUCGGGUUGUAAAGCCCUUUUGUUGGGAAAGAAAAGCAGCAGGUUAAUACCCCGCUGUUCUGACGGUACCCAAAGAAUAAGCACCGGCUAACUUCGUG